UACAGCUUGUCACUGUGCACAAGGAAGAAGAUACAGCCUCUGUUCUGAGGAGCAUGUUGUAGCUAUCAAGAUGGACACAGAAGUGGGCUGUCUAAUCUAGGUGCUCUGGAAGGUGGCAACAGAAACGUUACAAUGUAGGAAAAGUCUUUUAUUUAUUUGUGGUGAGAACAACUUAUGUCAUGAUACUGUCUUGUGGACUGUGAAGAUUGUAUCAUGAUCAGUGGAACUGGAGUCUGAGCACCAGUGUUCCCUGGAGGGACUGCUAUUGACAGGACUUCAGGAAAACAGGGAUUGCGGGAGUUAGGUUGGAAGCAGCUGAUCCCCAUGAACCGAAUAGUGCACAGGGUUUAACAAACUUCCCUUUGUUCAACUUGGCCUGCACUCAACUGCAUGCUUUGCUAAUGAAACAUGGGGGAAACAUCUGAGCUGUGAGUUCUCUGAAGUGCAGCAGCUGGUUGCCGUGAGCCAUGUCAGUCGGCCCGAAGCCCCCCAGAGCCCUGGAUUUGCAGACACCAAACCUAGCCAAGGAUGAACCCAGAGGAAGGAGGAGUUUAAGCUGUAGCCAGACCUGGUCAUGCAGGAGGAUUACAACAGCAGGAAAGUAAAACUAUUAGUUCACCUUAUUGGGGAGCCAGGCAGAGAGGUUAGCAUCACUCUGAAGCUCACCACCACAGAAGUUCAUCACAGCAGUCCAAGGAGUGCUGGGGACCUAUUGGUCCCCAAAGCAGAAUGAAUCUGUGGAGCAACACAGGCUUUUCACUAGAGAUUAAUCCAAAGGGUAGGGGUCCUAUGUUACUGCCUUAUGCACAGUGCCUGCCACAAUUUUGGAGACCUGACAGAUCCUCUAAUUUGGGCAGUGUGGUCUGUGGCAGUUGGGAUCACCCCCUUCAGGAUGGACUGCUCCAGGAAGGGGAUCUCACACUGGACACGUGCCUAGACAUGGGGUGUGCGGCAGAAGCCUCAAGAGAAAUGGUGAAAACCAUAGCGUGCACAACACCCCAGAAGUACAUGCAGUGAGAUGACAAAGGAGAGCAGUGUUCCUUGCCCAUAGCGAGAUGCAUGUACUCUAGACAGCAUGAGUGGGUAAAGGAGAAGUGCCCUGCACUAGGAGAGCAUUGCAAGGUGGCAGAUUGGACCAUUUCAGCCAUGUGUGCAAGAGCAGAAGAGGCUCUCAGAAAGAUUCAGAUUGUACGAGAGGGGGAUGGCACAUCAGACAGUGGUGAUAACACCAUGACUCUCUCCUUGAGUCCCACAGCAUAUCAAGUUCAGGCUGUCAGGACAGGAAAGCAACAAGGGACAAUACCAACCUCCAUGCAUGCAACAAUGUCAAUAGGGAAAUAUCAUGUGAUUUCAGCUGGAUAGCAGGGCCUCCUGCAAUGUGUUUCCUCAAGGUGAAUUGGACUCACACAUCCAUCACAAAGAGCAGUUGCAAUCCAAUAAUGUAUGAUGAGAAUAUAAUGCAACCAAUAGGAAAAUGUGACCUCAUAGUAACUAUCCCAAAAAAACAACAGAUGGUAUCAACUGAAGUUUGUGAUGGUGGAUGGUAAGCACCUCAGACCCCUCUGGGGGAAUACAGCCAUACAAGCCCUGGAUCUGAUCAGCGUGCAGCAUCAGAAUUUUAUAGCUGCAGAGCAAGCAGUGAAAAGGGGGUGUCCCAUGGACAAUGGAGACCAUUUUAAAGGCAUAUGGGGGUGUUUUCAAAGGCCUCAAAGGAAAGCUGCAACUGGAAGUAGAUCCUACAGUGGAACCUGUGUGCUUUCAGGAAGGAAAAUUCCAGUGGCAUUGCAUAAUCCAGUAUGCACGGAGCCUGAAAGUCUCUGCAGAGCAGGGAUAUCAUAGCACCCAUAGAGGCCAGAACAACCUGAAUCAGCAGCAUGGUGGUAGCAGAGAAGCCAUCAGGCAAUUACACAUCUGUAUAGACUCAAAGCCACUAAACUGGUCAUUGAAAAGAUGCCAAUAUCCACUGCCCACAAUUGAUGCCAGAACUCUACAAAGCCAUAAUCUUUAUGGUCUGAUCUGAAGAAUGGGUUUUAGUAUAUACAUGUGGAUAAAGAGUCAAGCAUGCUGACAACCUUUGCAGCACCAUUUGGUCUCUACAUUUGGCUGUGUAUACCAAUGGGCAUAAGGCCAGCACCAGAAGUGUUACAGGGAAGAUUCACUCAAAUGCUGAAACGACUGACCAGGGUGAAAAAUAAUAGCAGAUGAUAUGCUUUUUGUAGGUGAAGGGAGUGAUGAUACAGAAGCUGAACACCAUGACAGAAAACUACAAGUUUUUCAGUAGUGAUGCAGAAACAUUACUUAGAGAGGUCAUGCAAAAAAUACAUGCCUUGCACCUGGGCAUUGACAGCUGUCUGAGACGGGCUCGAGAGUAUGUUUACUAGCUGGGAUUGAAUACACAACUCCAAUUCUUUAUAGAGGGGUCUGACACUUGCCAGUCGUGUGAUACCUGCCAGCAGAAGAGGCCACAUGAGUUGGCCACCUGACCAUGGGAAAGGUGAGAGCAGAUUUAUUUACCUUCAAGGAAAAGCAGUCCUUGAUUACAGUGGACUACGACUCACAUUUUUGGGAUGUCAAUGCCCUGGCUGAUAUAAGAAGCAAAUCAGAGAAUGGCAAACUGAAGGCCCAUUUUGUGAGAUAUGGCUUUCCAGACACUGUAUUCACUGACAAUGGAGCCCAGUUUGCCUUGGAAUAAUUCAAGGAAUUUACACGCAAAUGACUACCACACUGACAUUAUACUCCAUAUUCUUUAUGAAAAUAUGCUUGUGGUAGGAAUAUGACAUAAGAUAUGCUUUAUGCAAGAUAACUCUUGUAAGGUAUCAUUGGAGAGCUUAUAAUUAACUGAAUAUGAUUAUCCUAUUUGUAUGCAUGUAUCAUUUCUGUAUCCGAAGUUAGGAAUAUUGACUAUGUAUCUAUGUUUCAAACAUGUUACUUUGGGGGACGCCCCCUGCUAACACUUCAGGUACAACAAUGAAAAAGCCCAACAGUGCUGAUGGCUCAUCAGCAGGAGACAAUGGAUUGUAAAAUAGCUUAGUCUUCCUGUGACCAUCAGCCUGUGAAGAAUGGCUACAGGGGCCCUACAGAGGCAUGUGACCAUGUCACCUGAUACUGGAACCCAUCUUGAAUUCUGUACUUUUCUCAU